rnacentral:lncRNA from 1 species
CUAGCAUUUCCUUUGGAUUCUUUCUUAGAGUUUCCAUCUCUGCUUACAUUUCAUGUCUGUUCUUCACACAUGUUUCCUUGUCUAAUUUUCUAUUAGUGUCCCUAACAUAUAAGUAACAGUUAUUUUAUUUUCCUGUCUGAUAAUUCCAGAAUAUGAGCAUAUCUGAGUCUGGUUGUGAUGCUCACAUUGUCUCUAUAGAUAGUUUCUCUUGUCUUUGAGCAUGUCUUGUAAUUUUCUGUUGAAAGCAGUCAUCUGUUGGAUAACAAGAACUGAGAUGAAUAGACCAUCGGAUGAGAUUUCAUGCUCUUCUGGCUAUGAGUUUGGCUGUUUAGUGUCUGCUGUAGCUGUAGGUGACAGAGGUUUCAAAUUUCUCUGAGUCCUUGUUUCUGUCUCACCUGUUGACGUUGGGCUUCCCUAGGUACUGCUCCUCAGGGAGAGUGCACAUCACGGCUGUCAGCUCCACUGCACUGUUGUUGAACUGGAGGCCCCGUGUGUGGUGCUACUGCCUGGGGGAGGGGGCCGCUUUCUGCAAGACUGGUUAAAUCUCAGUCACUCGUGGGCCUGUGUCCCUGGGCUGUGACCCUCACAGUGUUUCUUAGCUUCCCCCUUGGGUGAGACUCAAAGGCUGGAGGUGCUGGAGUGGGAGAGAUGCCGUUCCCCAGGGGAUCUGAUCUUCUGCAAGAGCCUGGUGGGGUUCCUGGAGGUAAAGCCCAGAAAAGUAUGAGGGCCCCUCAGACUGUGUCUCCCAGGACUUUCUCCCUCCCAGCCAGCCCACACUCAGCCUCUGGAAAACCACCCCAAUCGCCAGUGGAGUGCUCCCAUCAGCAUGACGUCAGCAGCUUCUCUUCCAGGUAAGCAGAUCUCAGCUGUGCCUGGAUCUUCCUGUCUCUCCAGACUUUGGGGUGACAGUUUGCUCUGUGACUUCAGCUUCUGAUGGAUCCAAGAAAAGUCAUUGAUUUUCAGUUUGUCCAGCUUUUUCUUGUUGUAAGGACAAGAAUGACAACCUCCACACUCUCUAUAUGUAGGAACUGAAAGUGGAAGUCCAUACAGCACUUUGAAAAGGAAUAAAAUAAAAUGUAGACAACAUCACAUCAGUUAUAUUCAGGAUAAAAUAAAAAAUUACUGGACAUAGGAAAGGCAGACAAAUCUGUGCAACAGCCCAGAGAGAAAAAGUUCAAUAGAAAGAGAACAUGCGAUGACACAGGUAUUGAUGAGCAGACGAGGGCCAUGAAACAGCCAUUACAAAUAUAUUCAACAUCUUAAAGGGAAGAUGGGCAUGAAGAG